GACGAACGCUUGCGGCGUGCUUAACACAUGCAAGUCGAGCGGAGCGGCGAACGGGUGAGUACCGCGUUAGUAACUGCCCCCCUCUCUGGGAUAACAGUUGUAAACGGCUGCUACUACCGGAUAGUGGGGGAUGACUCGCGUCCUAUCAGCUUGUUGUUGGGGUAGUGGCCUAACAAGGCGCCGACGGGUAGCCGGCCUGAGAGGGCGACCGGCCACAUUGUGGUAAGAUACGGACCAAAAUCAGACGGGAGGCAGCAGUGGGGAAGAUUGCACAAUGGGGGAAACGAGGAUGGAGCAAAGCCGCGGGAGGGAUGACGGCCAUCGGGUGAGAAACCGCUUUCGGCCAUGACGCGGGAGUGGAAGAAGAAGCACAGGCUAACUACGUGCCAGCAGCCGCGUUAAUAC
rnacentral:rRNA from 1 species